AAUUAAAAUAAAUUAAUUAAUUUAUAAUCCCAAAGAAACAUAAAAGAAAUAAUUCUAAUCACAUUAGUCUUUUAUAGUCCAUGAUCAUCCAUCAUGCAUAUCACUAUUUAACAAUUAAAUAAAACAUACAUACUUAAAUUAAAUUGAAUAUCUCAUAUUCAACUUAAAAAUCCAGAUUUGAAUAUGAUUCAAACAAAUUUAAAAAUUCAGAUUUGAAUCACAUUCAAACAAUUUUUAAAAUUUAGAUCUGAAUCAAAAUUUAAUUGUGUGAUUAAAACACUUAAUUAAACACUUUAAUUAGUCAUAGGCCUAAUUAUGGGCCUUGGAACAAAGCCCACAAACAUACCCAAACAGCCAUGCACAUGGUUGAAUGAAUCAAACCAUGCACAUGGUGGUGUAGUUCAUCAAGCCGCCACCUUUGUUGGUCCAACCAGCAAUGAAACAAUCAUCUCAUGAUUAAAUCACACAAUUAAAUCAUAUAA
rnacentral:misc_RNA from 1 species